ACUGACGCUGAGGAGCGAAAGCGUGGGGAGCGAACAGGAAAAAAUACCCUGGUAGUCCACGCCGUAAACGAUGAGUGCUAUGUGUUAGGGGGUUUCCGCCCCUUAGUGCUGCAGCUAACGCAUUAAGCACUCCGCCUGGGGAGUACGGUCCCAAGACUGAAACUCAAAGGAAUUGACGGGGGCCCGCACAAGCGGUGGAGCAUGUGGUUUAAUUCGAAGCAACGCGAAGAACCUUACCAGGUCUUGACAUCCUCUGACAACCCUAGAGAUAGGGCUUUCCCUUCGGGGACAGAGUGACAGGUGGUGCAUGGUUGUCGUCAGCUCGUGUCGUGAGAUGUUGGGUUAAGUCCCGCAACGAGCGCAACCCUUGAUCUUAGUUGCCAGCAUUUAGUUGGGCACUCUAAGGUGACUGCCGGUGACAAACCGGAGGAAGGUGGGGAUGACGUCAAAUCAUCAUGCCCCUUAUGACCUGGGCUACACACGUGCUACAAUGGACAGAACAAAGGGCUGCGAGACCGCAAGGUUUAGCCAAUCCCACAAAUCUGUUCUCAGUUCGGAUCGCAGUCUGCAACUCGACUGCGUGAAGCUGGAAUCGCUAGUAAUCGCGGAUCAGCAUGCCCGCGGUGAAUACGUUCCCGGGCCUUGUACACACCCGCCCGUCACACCACGAGAGUUUGCAACACCCGAAGUCGGUGAGGUAACCUUUAUGGAGCCAGCCGCCGAAAGGUGGGGCAGAUGAUUGGGGGUGAAGUCGUAACAAGGUAACC
rnacentral:rRNA from 2 species